rnacentral:rRNA from 1 species
GAUGGACGCUGGCGGCGUGCCUAAUACAUGCAAGUCGAACGCGCAGCGAGAGGUGCUUGCACCUUUCAAGCGAGUGGCGAACGGGUGAGUAACACGUGGAUAACCUGCCUCAAGGCUGGGGAUAACAUUUGGAAACAGAUGCUAAUACCGAAUAAAACUUAGUAUCGCAUGAUAUCAAGUUAAAAGGCGCUACGGCGUCACCUAGAGCUGGAUCCGCGGUGCAUUAGUUAGUUGGUGGGGUAAAGGCUUACCAAGACGAUGAUGCAUAGCCGGGUUGAGCGACGGGGCGGCCACGUUGGGACUGAGAAACGGCCGAAACUCCUACGGGAGGCUGCAGUAGGGAAUCUUCCACAAUGGGCGCAGGCCUGAUGGGGCAACGCCGCGUGUGUGAUGAAGGCGGUCGGGUCGGAGAGCAAUGUUGUAUGGGAAGAAGUGCUACAAUCGGGCACGCUUUUAGUAUGACGGUACCGUACCAGAAAGGGACGGCUAACUACGUGCCAGCCGCCGCCGUAA